rnacentral:lncRNA from 1 species
AGAGGAUCCAGUGUGAAACCCAUGAAAUUGUGAUCAACCAGAAUCCAGAACACGCUGUGCUUAAUGGAGUGAACUGCCUGUGAAGCGCAGGUGUGAGGGGCGGAUGAUAAGUGACAGUGCCGGUGCCCCCAGCGCCCUUUUACCUGAUGGCUCACCCGGCCUACAGCUGCGCCCUUCCCUUUGAAUCGUCUUGGGUAACGGGUGCUGCUUUGGAAAUGCCUGGAAGGUCAUGUCCUUUGUCUGGGGAUGGCUUCCAGCUGUGGUUGACUGAUAGCAGGGGGCACAGAAGGCCAGACACAACUUGCCUCAGGUGGGCCGACUCUGAGGGUUUGUUCGGCCUCCACGUGGACU